rnacentral:rRNA from 1 species
AUUGAACGCUGGCGGCAUGCUUUACACAUGCAAGUCGAACGGCAGCGCGGGCUUCGGCCUGGCGGCGAGUGGCGAACGGGUGAGUAAUGCAUCGGAACGUGCCCAGUAGUGGGGGAUAGCCCGGCGAAAGCCGGAUUAAUACCGCAUACGACCUGAGGGUGAAAGCGGGGGACCGAAAGGCCUCGCGCUAUUGGAGCGGCCGAUGUCGGAUUAGCUAGUUGGUGGGGUAAAGGCUUACCAAGGCGACGAUCCGUAGCUGGUCUGAGAGGACGACCAGCCACACUGGGACUGAGACACGGCCCAGACUCCUACGGGAGGCAGCAGUGGGGAAUUUUGGACAAUGGGGGCAACCCUGAUCCAGCCAUGCCGCGUGCGGGAAGAAGGCCUUCGGGUUGUAAACCGCUUUUGUUCGGGAAGAAAUCCUCUGGGCUAAUACCCCGGGGGGAUGACGUACCGGAAG